GUUACACCUGCGGCAGACAGAGCCUGUGGGGCUUAGGCUGCGCGGGCGGGGCUCGCUCCAGGCCUUCGACGCCCGAAACACAAACCCCCGAACACAAACCCGGGGCGGGCCGAGCAGAUUCCUCCCUUGGCGAGGACGGCGAGCUGAGAACACCUUAUGCGCGCACCUCUGGAGGAGGGUCCAGGAGGUGCGUGCCAGGCAGCAAAGCCGGGGGCAGGGGAGCAAGCCUGUCACCUUGGCCCCCAGCAGGCCACCAGGGCGGCCCCCCUGCCGCCGGGCAGAUGCCAGGGGAGGAAGUCCCCGGGGAGUUCAGUUUGUUGGAAGGUAAUUCAGUCCUGACAGAGAAUAUCAGAUGCGGAGAGGAAGGUUCCUGCGCUUCACAGGCUCUUGAGAUCAUCAGCAGUUUCAACAGUGAAAAUGCCAAAAUGCAAAGAACAGCGUCUCCUGCUUCUAAGGAAUGAGGGGCACUGGUUACCUAUGGGGAGAGCAGCACCAGAGAGGCCAGAGCCCGAGCCAGAGGAAGCCCAGCUGCCAAACGGAGCUAACUCCGUUCCACUGACUCCUGGCCACCUCACCUCAUAAACCAUGGAAUGUGAGCAGGAAUGAGGUAUGCAACUUCUGAACCAGGAAAACCUUCCUUCGAGCUGCUGACUCAGCAGUACCUGACCCACCGCCCCUUACCACAGCCUGGAACAUGGAUGCUACGUUAUGUUAGCUCCCACCAUGUGUGUGAAGGCAACACGUGAGGAAUGGUGAGCUGAAAAAGAACCUGGAUCCCUGACUGGUCUUGUGGAGCAGAGCUCUCCAGCGAGGCCGGACUAGCCAAACUGAGGAUUUCGAUGGCUUUGUCCAAGUCUCCCUGCAGCAAGUGGAUCUUCCCCAGCAUGAUAGCUGUAGCAGACACCUUGUGACCAUGAAGAAAAAGCCUCAUCCUUGACGUCUUGGACCACCAAGUCAAUGUUGGCAACUACUUACCUGGAUUUGUUUCAUGAGAAAAAAAUAAACCCCUAAUUGGUAAAGCCAAUUAGUCAAAUUUUUUAUUGCAGUUAUAAACCCUAACUGGUAUAAAGAGACAAG